GUUUUUCCCGGCUGCCAACCAGCAGGAAUUGCGUCACUUGCUACAAUGGCCUGCCCGGACUUGAGCGAGGUUAGCCGGAGAGACAAUGGGGCACGAAGAACAGAGCCGUAGUUGAGUUUCCAAACUGCACCCCAGGAUUGUUGCAUCUCAAUCCAUGAGUCUGUGUCUAACGCCUGUUUUAAUUCAACUGAAGCAAGGUCACCGUCUCCGUCUUCGUACUCCACUAAGGUUGCAAAAUAAUAGGGGUUUGAUCCAGAAUCAACGUGAAAGGCCAAAUUCCUGCCAGGAUAGUUGCACUGAACCCUUUUAUAUUGAAUCUGCAAAACUCCGGCAUUACGCAGUUGAUCAGCCUGGCCAGAAAUCGCCAUGGCUCCAAAAGCAGUGCCGCUCAAAUCGAAAUGAACGGACUCUGAGGUACAAGGGCCUCCAGGACACUCAUCUGUGAUAACUACUGUUACUGGAUUCCCCGAGCAAGCUGAAUUAGAGGUGCAUUUCACCUGAUAACAGGCUCCACAUCCUUUUCCAGAUUUGUAUAGAGAAGGCCCUCCAGCUGCUAUCAUUGAAGAGAAUGGUGGUUGGUCUACAGCAUUUUGAUACCCACAAGCUCCACCGUCACUUCCAGCACCGGUGGGACUACCAUACCAUGUUGCCCCAGCGGGUGCCCAAUCAGAAUCAGAUUGUGUCUUUGAAAAAUUGAGGGACUUGGGGUGGAAGCAGUGGCAGAAGUUGAACAGAAAGACAAGUAAAAGAAUGGAAAGAAGGAAUGGCUUUUGAAGGAAACAUACAAUAGCCAUAAUGAGUAAUGAAUUAUCAAAAAACUGCUAUGUGUUGUUU
rnacentral:misc_RNA from 1 species